CAAAGCUAACGGUGCAGAAGAAAGGACGCGGGGUGGGAUUUUUCCCCCCUGCCUCGCGCCGCCCGUGCACGGGCUCGCAGCCGCGCUGAAAUCCGGCCCGGCGCUGUCCGAUUGCAGCGUCCAGCCUCUCCCCCCGCGCUCUGCGCCCACCCUUUGCUGCUGGUCUUUGUUUCCCUUCACCCUUCCUCCGGUAGCUCUCACUGCACCGGGCACAGACUUCCUCUAGGUCAGCAGCUGCUGCGAUUGCAACUCAAGUUGCAGCCAAGUCACAAACCAUGUUGUCACUGUGGUUCCAGGGGAGGAAAAAGCCUGCAGGGAUGGACUGCUCAGCAUGUUGAACCUCCAGGACUGACUGAAGUGUACAACGAGAACAGGAGCCCCAUCGCAAUGAUCAGGGAAAGGAAGUUCUGAAUGUUAAGAGAAUAGCCCUGCUGUUGGGUUGAACGAAAAAACUCCAUGAGAAAAAUACAACCCAAGGAAGAACCAGAGCCAUCCAGUUAGCUGCACGACCCUUGGCCACUCAGUAUCUGUGCUGCAUGUUGUCAACCUCUCCUCCUGGUCAGCAGAGCAACCAGAGCCCAUCAGCUGCAGUUUGACUAUUGCAUCAUUGACUUUUUUAUAACCACCCCUUGCCAACCUUCCAACCAUCCCUCCCCAUCCCCUCCACUGGCUCCCUAGCAGCUGCCUGGCCUACCAGAGAGAAGCCAGACACAGAAGAAUCACAUUCACGUGCUGUGUGGCGCCACCAUGAAAGACCCUGCAAAGCGCGCGGCCCAGAAGACGCAUAUGUGCCCAGAGUGUGGGAAAUCCUUCAGCAAGAAGGGAAAUCUGAAGAGACACCAGAGGAUCCACACAGCAGAGGAGCUCUACCCGUGCGGUGAGUGCGGGAGGCGCUUCACCACGAGGGGACACCUUACCACCCACCAGAGCAUCCACACCGGAGAGAGGCCUUUCCAGUGUGACGAGUGUGGACGGUGCUUCCGGCUGGAGAUAUGCCUGGCUGCCCAUCAGAAGACACACACCAAAGGCGGGCCCUAUAUCUGUGUCCACUGUGGGAAGAGCCUGAGCACACGCAUCUACUUCAGCAUCCACAUGAGAACCCACAAGGAAAAGCGGCCAUACGCCUGCACCGAGUGUGGGAAGAGCUUUGUGAAGAAGGGGACGCUGACGGCACACAAGGAGAUACACAAACGGGAUAAGCCUUUCAAGUGCUCCGACUGCAGCCGAUGCUUUGGCCAGAGCGCAACACUGGUGGCUCACCAGAAAAUCCAUCUCCGCGGGGGGCCAUUCAUUUGCACCGAGUGCGGGAAAAGUUUGAGCACCAAGAGGUAUUUUAAUGUCCACCAGAGGAACCACGCAAAGCAGAGGCUACAGGAAGCCACUAGGCAAGUAAAUGGCAUGCCUCUCCGGGUCAUCCAGAUUAAAGAGGAACCGGACGUGGCCUUCAAACAGGAGGAUAGUUUUAGCCUGGGGAAGAACGUUACAAUACCAGGAGCUCACUCAGAGGACGGACCCCAGGAAGGUACUGAUUGUGGAACCCAAUCCAACCCAAAGAUCCUUGUUAGCACUCCGUGGGGAAUCCAGACUAAGGAGGAACCAGACAUAUACCCCGAACAUGAGAGAAACAUUACAGUAGCUGACCAGAACUUUUACAUCAAGGAAGAACCACAGGCCAGCCCCGGCUAUGACAACCAAUUCAAUCCAAAGAUGCCUCUCUUUCCUCCAUGGGGAAUCCAGGCUACAAAGGAAGCUGGGGUGGACAACGAACACCAGAGGGUUGUCACUAUGAUCGGCAAUCAUGCAGCAUGCCAGAAACCCCACAUCAAGGAAGAACCACAGGAGAGCACCGACCACGGAAGCAACUUCAGUCAAAAGACAUCUCUUGGCACCAUCCAGAGGAUCCAGAUUAAAGAGGGAGCCGGGGCGGAUGGUGAACAUGGGGAAAGCUGCAGCCCAAAGAAAAAACAUAGAAAACGCCAGAGAACCAGCGAAGAGGGGACUCCUGGUGCAUGUACCGAGAGCCGAGCAAACACAAAAUGCAAGAAAAAUCCCUUGACGAAGGACAGUCCCAAAGCGGAGAGGAUAUUUCCAUGUCCCGAGUGUGGGAAAAGCUUCAACCAGAAGUCAAAUCUUACUAGGCAUCGGAAGAUCCACACCAGUGAGGGCCCUUAUAAGUGAAACGAAUGCGGGGAGAGUUUCCGGAUGAACAGGAAGCUCAUCAGGCAUCAGAGGAUCCACAUGAGCGAGCCCUUUAAAUGCACCGAGUGUGGAAAAAGUUUCACCCAGAGGUCAAACCUUGUGAGGCACCAGCGGAUCCACACCAGGGAGGAGCCAUACAAAUGUCCCGAAUGCGAGAAGACCUUCAAUCAGAAGGCCAACCUCUUCAGGCACCAGACGAUCCACAUCAGGAUGGGACCAUGCAAAUGCACCAAGUGUGGGAAAUGCUUCACUCAGAAGAAAAACCUUAUUAGACACCAGACGCUGCACUCCAGAGGCGGGGCUUAUAAAUGCACGGUGUGUGGGAAACGGUACAGACUGAAGAAAUAUCUGAGGAGGCACCAGAAAAUCCAUAUGAGGGAGGGACCCACCGGGCGUGCAAAACGGGGGGAAAAACUGGGGGUACCAAUGAGCAUUAGCAACCACCCCCAGACCCACCCAGAACAAAGAGAGCUCCCGGCUGUGAAAAGUGAGGAGAGCAACCUCUAGCCACAGAGCAAAGCCCACAAAGGAAGGUGAUAAGCAUGGACCAAAUUCUGCAGUCUUUAGUGGAGCAAACUCCUACUGUAAACAGGAGGAGGCAGUGUGGCUGGGAUUCAGGAGACCUGCGUCCAGUUCCUGGGUCUGUCACUUGGGCAAGUCAGUUUCCCUCCCCAUGCCUCAGUUUCCUCAUCUGUAAAAUGGGGUUAAGGAUACUGACCUUCUUGGUAAAGAGCAAGGUAGUAUUAUUAUUAACCAGAGAUUUGCUCCACUGAAGAAUGCGGAGUUUAGCCCAAUCAGCCUCAACUCUUAAACAGGCUGAAUGUAUUCAGGUGCAAAGUAUUGAUUUUGAUUGUACCAUUUUGCUUCUGGAAGAGAAGUGGGGAAUGUAUCUGCUGAGUCUGGCUCUGAGAAAUGUGCAUCGCCCACGUAGUUCUAACACGGACAUCGCUCCCAUCGAUAUCAGAGGUCAGCUCUGGGACUGAAACUCAGGAUGAAAUGCAGCAGACGUAAAGGCCAGCAUUUUCAAACCGGGGUGGGGGUGGGGGUGAGAUUAGGCUGCAGAAAGAAAGAUGUCUCAGGCUGGGUACCUAACGUGGAGAUACUCAAACUCUAUGGCCACUUUUGAAAAUUUGGCUGGCAGUGAGCAAAUGCUGCUCUCCCAGUAUAUCUACACUGAAGUUGGAUGUGUACUUUCCAGCCUGGGUAGAUGUACACACACUAGCUUUGAGAGAAUAGGAGUCCCCUGCCAGCUGGGAGACCAGCCAGAGACUCCAUGAAACACACAGUUCUCUUAAUCCCAGAAGAAACACUACUGGACAAUCCCUGCACUUGUUCAGUACCAACCAGGUCCUUCCUAGUUCAAAGACAAGGCCUGGCUGAAAGUUAAUACAUGAGCAGGGACAGGUGGUCACAAUGAGGUGGGGAAGAGUCACAGGAGUUAGUGACACACCAGCCACAUAAUGCAAUGAGACUAAAGGCUUGUCUACACUUGAAAUGCUACAGUACUCCCAUUGGCAUAAGUGAUCCAUAUCCCCGAGAGGCGCUAGCUAGGUCAACGGAAGGUAGUGCUGUCUACACCAGGGGUUAGGGCAGCAUAACUAUGUUGCUCAGGAGGGGUUUUUUUCACACCCCUGAAGGAUGUAGCUAGGUCGACCUUAUUUUUUGGGGUAGAUUGCGGCUGAGCUAGCAUGCUAACCACAGCAGUGUAGCCACAACAACAUGGAUCUCAGAGAGGGUUGUGCUCUGGUGGUUAGCUCGUGCUGCCGGCCACUUCCUAAAAAUAUUGCUGUAGCUCAGUCAGAGCUAGCACAUGCACACACCUCCCCGAGCUGGAGCUGACACCUUCGCUGCAGUGUAGACAUCCCCUCGGCCAUAUCCAUGAGAAGCUGGUACCUGAGCGUAAGCGAGAGCGGCCAUCUCGGUCUAGCAUCUUGCUAUAUCUGUGACUAGAGGAAAUAGAAGAUGCUCCAGAAGCAUCAAUAGCUUCAGCAGCUCAGGAUAGGUGCUCUUUCGUACUAUUUUUUUUUCCCCAGAAAGUGAUGGUGAAGGUCACUACAGGAUUUUGAAUUUAUUGGGCAUUAUUUAGGGAUUAAAGAAAGAAGCAAUCAAAAUCUCUGGGACAGGCUGCACCCCUUCUGACUGGGGCUUCCAUGGACUAGAAGAACAGAAGCCCUUUAUCCUUUAGAUAGGUCUAGUUUCAUUGUGUUGUGUGAUGAGAGCUGCGAAGUGGCUUGGGGGCAAGUAACAGAGUUCACCACUCUUUCUUGCUCUUUGCUACUUGUUAUAAUGGUGUGUAUUCCUCAGACUAUGGGAUCUUUAAUGUGGCUGGCAGGGGUCACCACUGGAUCUUGAAGAACAUUGGCAAACCAGAGAUCUGGAGGGAGCCUGAGACCACCACAGCCAGACACUCUGCCCAACCAACCCAGAGUGCUCUCAGCAACGUUGCUUAUGUGACUGAAGUGAACACAGCAGCUGAGGGACGUGCACUAAGGAUCACUGCGUAGCUGGAAUUCUUCUAGGAGUAGAGUCAAGUCAAGUAGUGGUCAGUUAUUAGGCAUUAGUUCUACAGCUUGAUUUUGUAUAUGAAAAGCUUCUCCUUCAUCUCAUCAUCCCAAGAGAGGUUGCACACGAUGGGCUUUGAUUUACCCCCAUGGCAUAGGUGUUACAGCGAUCAUUGAGCCCAAGGGCGAGGAGUCAUGUCUGGGCAGGAAUGGGGGUGGCUGCGGAGGGAAGGACAAUUUUAAUCUCUGCCUGGGGUCUCCAUAGGAACCACACUGGAGGAGAUGGCCUAGGAAAUAAGCUGAAUCAGUCCAUCUCCUGGAUGGUAGUGCCCAGUCCCUUGGGACUCGAUCCACUCCUGGUAGACUGUCAACCUAGUACCCGGUGGAACGCAGGCAAUGAAUCUAGGACAAUAUACUAGGUCUCACAGUGAGGAAUAUUCCAGAGCUCCUCACUUGAGGGCCCAAGUGUGUAACCAAGAGAAGAAUUAUUUAUCCUCCCAUUCUUUGGAUGUAAUCGUUUUCUUCUCCUUAGACUAGUUUUGUGGCCUAGAGAUUUACCCCGGAGGAAGCAGCUAUGUUUGAGGAUUUUGUUUUGUAUGUCGAUACUUCUUUUAUCAAGAUACAUAGAACAAUAAACUGCCCUCAAUCCAUCUACUCUGCUUUCCCAGGCAUCACUGGGCAUUGCACCAUGGACCGAGGGCAGCAGCCAGACCUCAGCUCAUGGGGGAAACCAAUACUGACAGAUUAUACAGUCUCCUCAAUAAACUUCGACUACAGCACUGAAGCAGACUUUCCCUGAGUCCGCAGAGCAGGCCAUAGGAGAUGACCAGACGGAAGAAGAAUAGUAAGAUCCAGAGAUCUGGAUUUCAUUAUCUGUCAAGUGACAGCUGAGUAGCCACGCUUUCCUCUGGUUAAUGCUAAAGGGAAGAGAAAUAUGCUUGCAGCAGUGUUUGCUCGGCAUGUGACCGUGGCACAAACAAAGAGGAACAAAACAGGAACAGCCCAAGGAAGGACCAGGCCAUAAAUUAAAGAGAGCAAAGACAAUGCUUCCAAGGGUUUUAACAAACCAACUGCAACUUCCCCUUGGCUCAGGGAAAACCGCGAAGGAAGGAAACACACCAGACUGGGGAAGGAGUGAGAGGAGUGGUGCCAAACUCAGCAGGGAGAAUUGGAAUAAACCUGGACCUGAUGUGAGAAGAGUCAUUACCAUGGAGAGCUCUCUAGUACCUACCUCGCAGAGACUGUACAAAUGUCCUGAGUGCAGGAAAAGGUUCAGGAAGACUCCCCUGGAGAGCCACAUGGGAGAGAGGCCAUUCGUGUGUAAUGACUGCAGGAAAGGAUUCA